UGGGUUUUAAGUUAUACAAACUGUGGGCUUUCCAAGCCUAAAAAAAUAAGAUUAGACUCAA
rnacentral:tRNA from 1 species